GAUGAACGCUGGCGGCGUGCUUAACACAUGCAAGUCGAACGGGAUCGGCUGGAGCUUGCUCCGGCCGUGAGAGUGGCGAACGGGUGAGUAAUGCGUGACCGACCUGCCCCAUACACCGGAAUAGCUCCUGGAAACGGGUGGUAAUGCCGGAUGCUCCGACAUGACGCAUGUCGUGUCGGGAAAGAUUCAUCGGUAUGGGAUGGGGUCGCGUCCUAUCAGCUUGAUGGCGGGGUAACGGCCCACCAUGGCUUCGACGGGUAGCCGGCCUGAGAGGGCGACCGGCCACAUUGGGACUGAGAUACGGCCCAGACUCCUACGGGAGGCAGCAGUGGGGAAUAUUGCACAAUGGGCGCAAGCCUGAUGCAGCGACGCCGCGUGCGGGAUGACGGCCUUCGGGUUGUAAACCGCUUUUGACUGGGAGCAAGCCCUUCGGGGUGAGUGUACCUUUCGAAUAAGCACCGGCUAA
rnacentral:rRNA from 1 species